rnacentral:rRNA from 1 species
CCUACGGGAGGCAGCAGUGGGGGAUAUUGCACAAUGGGGGAAACCCUGAUGCAGCGACGCCGCGUGGGCGAAGAAGUAUUUCGGUAUGUAAAGCCCUAUCAGCAGGGAAGAAGAAAUGACGGUACCUGAUUAAGAAGCACCGGCUAAAUACGUGCCAGCAGCCGCGGUAAUACGUAUGGUGCAAGCGUUAUCCGGAUUUACUGGGUGUAAAGGGAGCGUAGCCGGGAGGGCAAGUCUGGAGUGAAAGGCGGGGGCUCAACCCCCGAACUGCACUUGAAACUGUACGGCUGGAGUGCAGGAGAGGUAAGUGGAAUUCCUAGUGUAGCGGUGAAAUGCGUAGAUAUAAGGAGGAACACCAGUGGCGAAGGCGGCUUACUGGACUGUAACUGACGUUGAGGCGCGAAAGCGUGGGGAGCAAACAGGAUUAGAUACCCGUGUAGUC